rnacentral:ncRNA from 1 species
UACCUGGUUGAUCCUGCCAGUAGUCAUAUGCUUGUCUCAAAGAUUAAGCCAUGCAAGUCUAAGUACGAGCUCUCGUACAGUGAAACUGCGAAUGGCUCAUUAAAUCAGUUAUGGUUCAUUUGAUCGUACAGUUUACUUGGAUAACUGUGGUAAUUCUAGAGCUAAUACAUGCGAGAAGCGCCGACCUCGCGGGAGGCGUGCAUUUAUCAGACCAAAAACCGGCCGCGUCUUCGGGCGCGUUCGCCUUGGUGACUCUGGAUAACUUUGCGGAUCGCACGGUCUAGCACCGGCGACGGAUCAUUCAAGUGUCUGCCCUAUCAACUUUCGUCGGUACGGUAUUUGCCUACCGAGGUUCUUACGGGUGACGGGGAAUCAGGGUUCGAUUCCGGAGAGGGAGCCUGAGAAACGGCUACCACAUCCAAGGAAGGCAGCAGGCGCGCAAAUUACCCAUUCCCGACGCGGGGAGGUAGUGACGAAAAAUAACAAUGCAGGACUCGUUCGAGGCCCUGUAAUUGGAAUGAGUACACUUUAAAAGCUUUAACGAGUAUCCAUUGGAGGGCAAGUCUGGUGCCAGCAGCCGCGGUAAUUCCAGCUCCAAAAGUAUAUAUUUAAGUUGUUGCGGUUAAAAAGCUCGUAGAAUGAUUUUGGGCGCAGGGCGGCCGGUCCCGUCGCAAGGCGUGUACUGGACGUCCU